rnacentral:rRNA from 1 species
GUCGAACGGCAGCGCGGGGCAACCUGGCGGCGAGUGGCGAACGGGUGAGUAAUAUAUCGGAACGUACCCAAGAGUGGGGGAUAACGUAGCGAAAGUUACGCUAAUACCGCAUACGAUCUAAGGAUGAAAGCAGGGGAUCUUCGGACCUUGUGCUCCUGGAGCGGCCGAUAUCUGAUUAGCUAGUUGGUGAGGUAAAGGCUCACCAAGGCCACGAUCAGUAGCUGGUCUGAGAGGACGACCAGCCACACUGGAACUGAGACACGGUCCAGACUCCUACGGGAGGCAGCAGUGGGGAAUUUUGGACAAUGGGCGAAAGCCUGAUCCAGCAAUGCCGCGUGAGUGAAGAAGGCCUUCGGGUUGUAAAGCUCUUUUGUCAGGGAAGAAACGGUGAAGGCUAAUAUCCUUCGCUAAUGACGGUACCUGAAGAAUAAGCACCGGCUAACUACGUGCCAGCAGCCGCGGUAAUACGUAGGGUGCAAGCGUUAAUCGGAAUUACUGGGCGUAAAGCGUGCGCAGGCGGUUUUGUAAGUCUGACGUGAAAUCCCCGGGCUCAACCUGGGAAUUGCGUUGGAGACUGCAAGGCUAGAAUCUGGCAGAGGGGGGUAGAAUUCCACGUGUAGCAGUGAAAUGCGUAGAGAUGUGGAGGAACACCGAUGGCGAAGGCAG